rnacentral:lncRNA from 1 species
UCACUAUUAUUCCUAAUUUUCUCUGGACAGAAAGACUGAAGUUUAUUGCUUUUGUUCAGCCGAAUGCUACUUGAUCAGUACUUAACCAAGAUUGGCAGCCAUUAUAGCUGGUGUAGAACUCAGAUAUACACAUUGAAUGUUCCGAUAUGCCAAAAUAAACACAUUAGAAUCUUUUUAAUUAUAUUCCUACUAUUUUUUCGAGAUUGCUCUGCGGUUGCUAAUUUUGAUGUUCUGCUAUACUACUAUUGCAUAUAGAGAGAGAUGAGAGAGGAGAGCAGCAGCCCGCUGCUGCAUUUUGUUCAUUCUGCUGCUUGGUUACUACACAUCUAUAGAGAACACAGAGAAGGCUGCUGCUUGCUGAUUACAAUUGCUUCAUGAUAUGUACAUAUCCUCAUGUAUGCUGCUGCUAGGUACCCUUGAUCAUGGUGACAAGGAAUCGAUGCUGCAGCGGUAGGGAUCUCGUGGCCAUGGAGUGGCAGCCGCUAUGUACAUACAUAACUCCAGCGAGUCAUGGUGAGGAGACUUUGAUCUUUACAUGUUAGAUUCAGAGUGGAUAUACGUUACUACAUGUAGGCCCCAUAUGCCAUACGAGUUCCUCCAUUUUUUUAUGUUAGCUGAUGAGCUUUCUUCUCCACUCUACACAGAUUGGUCCUGCAUGAUGCAUCCAUGGCUUAGGAUAAGAAAUGACUGUUUCCAUCUAAAUGUUAUUCAUUUAUUAUUAUUUUUUUCUAAAUCAAUUGAGGAGAACAUAUAAAGAAAAAACAAGUUACUCAUCUGAUUCAUUUGCAAAAUUCAGUACUCCCUCCGUUCGAAAAUACUUGUCAUUGAAAUGAAUGUAUCUAGAUGUAUUUUAGUUCUAGAUACAUCCAUUUUCAUUCAUUUUGAUGACAAGUAUUUCCGGACGGAGGGAAUUCUUUCUUAUACUGCUCUGUUUUAGGAGAUGGAAUAAAGAGAAAAAGAAAUUUCUUAAACAUACAAAUUCAGAUUCUCAAAAGAAAAGUAAUAGUAACAAAGCAUUUUUUAUUUUCUAUAAUAGUUUUUAUUACGAUUCACAUAUUUUAUCUUCGUAGAUUCUAGAAGUUCUUAAGCUUACUAUGAAAAAACGGAAGUUUCUUUUAUAAGGUUCAGUAGCUGCUUCAUGUUGUACUGAUUAGUUUCCAUUAAUUUGAAAAAAAUUAGCUCACGUUGCUCUCUUUAGCUGCCAUUUGCACUUGAAGGUCAGGAUCGAGGCAGGAGGUGAGGAAGUGGGGAUCAGGCUGUAAGCUAGGGUUAAGAAGGCAGUUUUUAUUUUCUAUAAUAUGUUUUUAUUACGAUUCACAUAUUUUUAUCUUUGUAAAUUCUACAAGUUCUUAAGCUCACUAUGAAAAAACAGAAGUUUCUUUUAUAAGGUUCAGUAGCUACUUCAUGUUGUACUGAUUAGUUUCUAAUAAUUUGAAAAAAAAUUAGCUCACGUUGCUCUCUUUAGCUGCCAUUUGCAAUUGAAGGUCAGGAUCGAGGCAGGAGGUGAGGAAGUGGGGAUCGGGCUGUGAGCUAGGGUUAACAAGGCAGUUUUUAUUUUCUAUAAUAUGUUUUUAUUACGAUUCAAAUAAUUUAUCUUUAUAGAUUCUACAAGUUCUUAAGCUCACUAUGAAAAAACAUAAGUUUCUUUUAUAAGGUUCAGUAGCCGCUUCAUGUUGUACUGAUUAGUUUCUAUUAAUUUGAAGAAAAUUAGCUCACGUUGCUCUCUUUAGCUGCCAUUUGCACUUGAAGGUCAAGAUCGAGGCAGGAGGUGAGGAAGUGGGGUUGGGCUGUGAGCUAGGGUUAUGGGGCUGGCUGGGCCUUAGGUGGGACAGCCUGGCCAGUUGGCCCAGCUGGCUGGCUGGCUGCUGCUCAAAACAAGUUCGUUGUAUAUAGCUUUUCCCUUGCCGAUAGCUCGAUCUGAUUUUUUCAUGUCUAUGCUAUAGAAGAGCUUGUAGUAUUCAAAUGUAGUUUCUCACACAAUAGUACUGGGCGCACUCAUUGUUAAAGUCAGUUGUAGUGUAAGAAAAUCAAAGAAAACAUGUGUGAAUAAUGAAUGAGAUGACAUACCUUUUAGAUGUUCUUCAAUAAUUUUUGUUCUACUCUUUAUUUAUAAGGUGACAAAUAAUUGCGUGUAGUAGUGUUCUGUGCGGUUUUAGCAAGCACAUGCGUUUG